GGAUUAACGCUGGCGGCAUGCCUAAUACAUGCAAAUCGAACGAGGUUAGUUUACUAACCUAGUGGUGAACGGGUGAGUAACAAGUAUCCAAUCUGCCCUUAAGAUGGGAAUAACUGACCGAAAGGUUAGCUAAUGCCCAAUAAUAACAUUCUUAUCGCAUGAGAAAAUGUAGAAAGACGCCUUUAAAGCGUCGCUUUUGGAUGAGGRUGCUCCGUAUCAGAUAGUUGGUAGGGUAAAAGCCUACCAAGUCUAUGACGCGUAGCUGUACUGAGAGGUAGAACAGCCACAAUGGGACUGAGACACGGCCCAUACUCCUACGGGAGGCAGCAGUAGGGAAUUUUUCACAAUGGGCGCAAGCCUUAUGAAGCAAUGCCGCGUGAACGACGAAGGUCUUAUAGAUUGUAAAGUUCUUUUAUUUGGGAAGAAACGUUAUGAUAGGAAAUGAUUAUAACUUGACUGUACCUUUUGAAUAAGUAUCGGCUAACUAUGUGCCAGCAGCCGCGGUAAUACAUAGGAUGCAAGCGUUAUCCGGAUUUACUGGGCGUAAAACGAGCGCAGGCGGAUCUGCAAGUUUGGUAUUAAAUCUAUGUGCUCAACGCAUAGCUGUAUCAAAAACUGCAAAUCUAGAGUGUAGUAGAGAGUUGGGGAACUCCAUGUGGAGCGGUAAAAUGCGUAGAUAUAUGGAAGAACACCGGCGGCGAAGGCGCCAACUUAGACUAACACUGACGCUUAGGCUCGAAAGUGUGGGGAUCAAAUAGGAUUAGAUACCCUAGUAGUCCACACUGUAAACGAUCAUCAUUAAAUGUCGGCACGAACGUGUCGGUGUUGAAGCUAACGCAUUAAAUGAUGUGCCUGGGUAGUACAUUCGCAAGAAUGAAACUCAAACGGAAUUGACGGGGACCCGCACAAGUGGUGGAGCAUGUUGCUUAAUUUGACAAUACACGUAAAACCUUACCUAGGUUUGACAUCGAUUGCAAAGCUAUAGAAAUAUAGUAGAGGUUAACAAUCUGACAGGUGGUGCAUGGUUGUCGUCAGCUCGUGUCGUGAGAUGUUGGGUUAAGUCCCGCAACGAGCGCAACCCCUUUCGUUAGUUAUUUUUUAACGAUACUGCUACUGCAAAGUAGAGGAAGGUGGGGAUGACGUCAAAUCAUCAUGCCCCUUAUAUCUAGGGCUGCAAACGUGCUACAAUGGUUGAGACAAACUGCUGCAAAACUGUAAAGUCAAGCAAAUCAGACAAAAUCAAUCUCAGUUCGGAUAGAGGGCUGCAAUUCGCCCUCUUGAAGUUGGAAUCACUAGUAAUCGCGAAUCAGACAUGUCGCGGUGAAUACGUUCUCGGGUCUUGUACACACCGCCCGUCAAACUAUGGGAGCUGAUAAUAUCUGAAACCGUACUGUUAACCGCAAGGAGGCAUACGUCUAGGGUAGGAUUGGUGACUGGAGUUAAGUCGUAACAAGGUAUCCCUACGAGAACGUGGGGAUGGAUCACCUCCUUUCUUCGGAGUAAUUUAUUAAAUUACACAAUCAAGUGUACGAAAUCACAAAACAAAUCCAUAAUGAUUUGCCGCAAUUUAUUUUUUAUAAAUCGUUAUGGUCGGAUUCUAUUUAGUUUUGAGAGAUUAUUCUCUCCAUAUAUCGACUGAUAUAUGUGGUCGAUCUUUGAAAACUGAAUUAUUAUCAACAAUCUUUCUAAUGAUUAGAUACGCAAGUAUUUAAUCAACAGAAUUAUAUUAAUUWAAUUAAUAUAGUUAACAAUCAUAUUAAAGAUACAACUUUAAGGAUUUAUUAUAAGUUAUUAAGGGCUUAUGGUGAAUGCCUUGGGACAAACAGGCGAUGAAGGACGUGCAAAUCUGCGAUAAGCAACGGGUAGCUGAUAAGAAGCUGUGAUCCGUUGAUUUCCGAAUGAGUAAACUCAAUAUAAGUAAUUUUAUAUUAUUACAUUAUGAAUUCAUAGUAAUGUAAGGCAAUACCUCGUGAAGUGAAACAUCUCAGUAACGAGAGGAAAAGAGAACGAAUGUUAUUCCGGUAGUAGCGGCGAGCGAAUCCGGAUCAGGCCAAACCGAAUCUUGAUUCGGGGUUGUAGGACUGCAAUGUGGACUAAUUAUUGAUAGUGGAAUGAGUUGGGAAGCUCAAUCACAGAGGGUGAUAAUCCCGUACACGAAAUCAAUAAUUUACCUAGCAGUAUCCUGAGUAGGGCGGGACACGUGAAAUCCUGUCUGAAUCCACCCAGACCAUUGGGUAAGCCUAAAUACUAGUUUGUCACCGAUAGCGCAUAGUACCGUGAGGGAACGGUGAAAAGAACCCAGAGAUGGGAGUGAAAUAGAACCUGAAACCAUAAGCCUACAAGGUGUUAGAGCACAUUUAUGUGUGAUAGCGUGCCUUUUGAAGUAUGAGCCAGCGAGUUAUUGUUGCAUGCAAGGUUAAAUUGUAGAAAUGGAGCCGUAGGGAAACCGAGUCUUAAUAGGGCGUUYAGUAUGUGGCAAUAGACGCGAAACGGGGUGAUCUAUCCAUGGGCAGGUUGAAGGUGAAGUAACAUUCACUGGAGGACCGAACCCACUUUCGUUGAAACGACAGGGGAUGACCUGUGGAUAGCAGUGAAAUUCCAAUCGAACUCCGUGAUAGCUCGUUCUCGUCGAAAUAUUUUUAGGAAUAGCGUUGGAUAAUGCAAUUAUGGGGGUAAAGCACUGAAUCUAUGAUGGCGCCACCUCGGUGUACUGAAUAGAAUCAAACUCUGAAUACCGUAAUUGCUAUUCCAGCAGUCAGACAGUGGGGGAUAAGCUUCAUUGUCGCGAGGGAAACAGCCCAGACCAAUAUCUAAGGUCCCUAAUAUAUGCUAAGUGGAAAACGAUGUUGAAUUUCUUAAACAGCAAGGAUGUUGGCUUAGAAGCAGCCACCGUUUAAAGAGUGCGUAACAGCUCACUUGUUUAGAGAUUCUGCGCGGAAGAUGUAACGGGGCUAAGCAUAUAACCGAAGAUUUGGGUUAUCAAUUUAUUGAUAGCGGUAGACGAGUGUUGUAUAAAGGACGAA
rnacentral:rRNA from 1 species